rnacentral:rRNA from 1 species
UACGUAGGCAGCAAGCGUUGUUCGGAAUUACUGGGCGUAAAGAGUGUGUAGGCGGUGUUCCAAGUCUGGUGUGAAAUCUCCCGGCUUAACUGGGAGGGUGCAUUAGAAACUGGAAUGCUAGAGGAUGGGAGAGGUAAGCGGAAUUCCUGGUGUAGCGGUGGAAUGCGCAGAUAUCAGGAGGAACACCGAUGGCGAAGGCGGCAUCCUGGACCGGUAUUGACGCUGAGGCGCGAAAGCUAGGGGAGCAAACGGG